UCUCAAAGUACUUUGGACUUAGUUCGCUCUUUUUUUUUUUUUUUUUUUUAAUUUCCUCGAGGUACAGAGUGAGGUGGUUUUACACCCAACGUGGGGCUCGAGCUUAAAACCCAAGACCAAGCGCUGUAUGCCCCGCCGACUGAGCCACCAGCCGCGACAUCUUUCCUUUUUCUCAAGGUAGGCGUUUUCGCUGAAUCCCAUACAUUCACCGUGUUGCGUUUCCGCUUAUGCUGGUCUCAGAUUAUUUCUUGGUUUCCCUUUGAUUUCUUUUCUGCCCCAGGGGUGUUCACGACUGUGUUGUUGAGUCUGCCGGCCUGUGCGAAUUUUCCUGCUGUUACACGUUUCACGACAUGGUGGUCAGAAAAGCUACUCGGUAUGAGAAUUUGAUGAAGGGAGCUGCCAUCUGUGAGAGGCCCACAUGGCAAGGAGUUAGGGUCCCUUCCAGCCAAGGGCCCUCUGGCUAUUAAAAUCCUCAGUCCAACACAGCCCAACAGGAACUGAACUUUGCCAACAACCGUGUGACCUUCAAAGCAGAUUCUUCCCCAGUUGAGCCUUCAGAUACGACCCCAAGCCACGGAUGACAUGUAGACUGCUCCCUUGUGGGAGACCCUGAAGACGACCAGAUAAUUUGUGGCUGGACUUCUGGCCCACAUAAACAGAGUUAAUAAACGUGUACUGUUGGAACCCUGU
rnacentral:lncRNA from 1 species